AUUGAACGCUGGCGGCAGGCCUAACACAUGCAAGUCGAGCGAGCGGCGAACGGGUGAGUAACGCAUCGGAACGUACCGAGUAAUGGGGGAUAACUGUCCGAAAGGACAGCUAAUACCGCAUAUUAUUCGAGCGGCCGAUGUCUGAUUAGCUGGUUGGCGGGGUAAAAGCCCACCAGGGCGACGAUCAGUAGCGGGUCUGAGAGGAUGAUCCUCCACACUGGUACUGAGACACGGCCCAGACUCCUACGGGAGGCAGCAGUGGGGAAUUUUGGACAAUGGGCGCAAGCCUGAUCCAGCCAUGCCGCGUGUCUGAAGAAGGCCUUCGGGUUGUAACGGACUUUUGUCAGGGAAGCGGUACCUGAAGAAUAAGCACCGGCUAACUACGUGCCAGCAGCCGCGGUAAUAC
rnacentral:rRNA from 1 species